CACUUGGUUUUUACACAAUUUCGGUUUUAUUUGUUUACUUCUUGUUCCAGGUCACUUUUGAUGGUGUAAGAUGAUAGUUCAGAUUUUUUAAAAUUUUUUACGUUCCUAAAAAUUCAAAUGUUGUGGACUUUUCAAUGAUUUAAAUUGUGCCGAAUAUUUCAACACUUUUUCCAUAUUUAAUUUGGAUAUUUUUUAAAUACUACUCAGGCUAGAGCUGUUUUAAUAUUGUGGAUAUUUGUUUAAGUAUUUAUCAAGUCAGAAUAUAUAAGGCAUUCCAGCCUAGCUCCAUUUUUUCGAGGGGUCAAUUUCGAAAUGAAAUCCGUUACGGUACGUAAAAUUGCCGUGACGUCACGGCCGCCAUCAUGGACCAGGGACCUUGAUCGGCUCCGCUGUCUCCUCGAUACAAAUGUAGAGGGACGAAAUAGGGAAGCAGGAAGACCACCACCACCACCACCAUCACCACCAGCAGUGUGGAAGAAAGUUUAGAGCAACGGCAACCCUCUGAUCCGGCAAGCAAGUUGGCGGCAGCGAUGGCGGUGGCGGCGGCAGUGGUGGUGAGGUGGACGGCAGGGACAGAGGGGCAGUACAGGCUGCGGACAUCAAGGAGAAGAGGAACGCACGGACAAGCAAGGUGUUAUUCGGCAGUCUGAUCCUGGACCUGCUAGGCUUGAAGGUGGUGCUGCCCGUGUCUUCUGCUCUCCUCGACUGUUACUCCAAGCACAACACCAGCGGCUUGUAUUCCUCUCAGCUCUCCUGUGUGACUUAUUCGCGGCCUCGGCUGUCUACGCACGCACUCUCACUGUGGCUAACAUAAUAUUCUUUGCUGUCUUCUUCCAGGAAUCGCUGCCUGAGGGCAGAAGGAGGAGGGACAUCGGUGCCAGUUUGACCGAGGCUUGGGAGGUGAUCAAUCCUAGGGCUCUGUUCUCCGUCAGCUGUGUCAAGGGCCUGGGCAGAGAAGGCACCGAGAGGCUCUGGAGAAGUUUGGAAGGGGACUACUGCAUCAUCCGCGUCUCAGAAACAUGCUGCCGCCCGAUGCGCCUCGCCCGGUCCGUGCCACCAGACACCACAACAGAAUAACGCCCCUGAAGGCGCCGCGCACGGACCGGUACAGACUCAGUGCGAUUCCCACCAUGCCUGGAGUUAACGCUGAUCUUCGCGACCCACCACAAGCAUAGUUACGACUCGUUGGCGCAGGACCGCAAGUUUUCCUUCCUGGGCCUGGUCAUGGCAGUUACACAGAGAGGGUUUAUGCAAAGUGUUAAGACUGGAACUGAAAAAGCAACUGCCAAUUAGGCACACACCUACAUUGUGAUGCAGCUCCUUGGAGGUGGAGGGCUGGCUGCCUCAGAGGAUCAGGAAACACGAGAGGUUCACAGAGGCUCGCCUCGGGCUUCGGUCGUCGUGAGGAACCUGGUGUCAGCAGUUCACUACGUGCACAGGAAAAGCAUCAGUGUUCACGGAGACCUAAAGCCAGACAGGGGUGAAAAGGGUUGGUGUUGAGGAUAGAAAGAAAAGAAAAGAAAGGAAAGGUAAAAAAAGGAAGUUUUUUUGCAUUGAUUUUCCAUCUGCUUAUUUUAAAGAAUUUAUUGCAUGGAAUAUUAUUGAUCUCCAUCAUUUGUAUGGCCUUUAUAAUAAAAAGUAUGAAUUUA